rnacentral:rRNA from 1 species
CAGUAGCCACGGUAAUACGGAGGGGGCUAGCGUUGUUCGGAAUUACUGGGCGUAAAGCGCACGUAGGCGGCUUGGUAAGUUAGAGGUGAAAGCCCGGAGCUCAACUCCGGAAUUGCCUUUAAGACUGCCGAGCUAGCAGGUGAGAGAGGUAAGUGGAAUUCCGAGUGUAGAGGUGAAAUUCGUAGAUAUUCGGAAGAACACCAGUGGCGAAGGCGGCUUACUGGCUCAUACUGGACGCUGAGGUGCGAAAGCGUGGGGAGCAAACAGGAUUAGAGACCCCGGUAGUCCCUGUCUCUUAUAC